UUGACCUGCAAUGGACUAAUGAAACAAUAUUUCUACUCCUAUUCAGUAUUUAGUCAUUAUUAGUUUCCCAAUCAUGAGAAUUCUGGCUAAAUUUAGACUGUUCAACUCAAUUAGCAACACUGAAAUUCAGUUCUUCAAACUGUCAACAUUUACAGGGAGAAGAAAUCAAUCAAAACCUAAAAAAAUCCAGAAAACUCGGCUAAAGAAACAUACUUUACCUGUGAAAGAUGAUAAAGAUUCACUUUUUAAUGAGAUUACUGAGAUAUUAGGGACUGAAAAUCUUACCGAUGCUAAAACCCCGUUUGGGUUUUCAUUCCCUGAAACAAGGUCUUCAGUUUUUGCUGGAAAGAGACAUUGCACUCAAGGUGUUUGUGAAAAUGCCCAGGAGAAGUUUGAGAGUAAAAGUGAAGAGGUUUUUGUUAAGAAAGUUGCAGAGUUUAGAAUAUUAAAUGGAAAUGAUGAUUCCAGUGAGGUUGUGCACAGGAUAGCAGGGAUUGUUAGGGAAAUGAAUGCUACGAUUUCGAUGGAGGAACGGUUGGAUGGCUCAUUUGGUGAAUUAAGUUCUGAUAUUGUCAUGAAAGUGUUAAAGAGGUGCUUUAAAGUGCCACAUUUGGCUAACAGAUUUUUUAGUUGGGUGAAAUUGAAGAAUGUGAGUUGUCUUAACACUGAAUGCUACAACACUAUGUUGUAUCUAGCAGGGGGAGCUAAGGAGUUUGAACUGGUUGAGAAGCUGCUGGGGGAAAUGGAUGCAAAUAAUUGUGAGAAAGAUAUUAAGACUUGGACAAUCGUAUUUAUGCAUUAUGGAAAGGCAAAGAUGGUUGGGAAGGCUUUGUUGAUUUUUGAAAAAAUGAAGAGAUUCGGGUUUAAACCCGAUGAAGAUGCAUAUAGAUGGUUAAUUCGUGUACUUUGUCAAUGUAGGCAAGGUGAAAUUGCAUUAGAGUUUUACAAGGAGAUGGUCCAAAAGGGUUUUGUUGUAGAUAAUAGAAUGUAUACUAUGUUACUCAAUUGCCUUGCUGAUUGUGGAGAUGUAGAUGGAGUUUACAUGGUCGCAAAUGACAUGAUUAAUCUAUCCCAAAUCCCCGAAUGCAAUGUAUAUCCAUGUGUUUUAAGGAGCUUUUGUAUGUCACAACGCAUCAAAGAAGCUUUCGAGUUGAUUCGUGAUCUUAAGACUAAGAAUUUUGCAUUUAGUUUCGAGUACUUUGAAAUCCUUGUGAAGGGGCUUUGUAAGGCUCGUAGGAUGGACGAUGCUCUAGAGAUUGUUGAAAUCAUGAAGAAAAAAACUUCUGUUAAUGAGGUCGUUUAUGGAGCUUUAAUAAAUGGAUACUUGAGAAUCAAUGAUCAUUCUCGGGCUUUGAAUCUGUUUAACGGCAUGAAGCAUGCUGGUAUUACACCUUUAACAUCAACUUACACAGAACUGAUGCAGUAUUUCUUUAACUCGAAUGAGUACGAGAAAGGCUGUGCUCUAUAUAGUGAGAUGUUAAUAAAGGGCAUUAAGCUGGACUCUGUUGCUUGCACAGCAUUGAUUGCAGGUUAUACACGAAACAACGCUAUUUCAGAUGCUUGGAAAGUAUUUGAUAAAAUGGAGGAGGAAGGAAUUAGAGCCACACAAAAAUGUUACUUGAUUUUCAUCAAAGAACUCUGUAGGAGCUCAAAGACCGAUGAUAUGAUCAAAGUAUUGUAUCGAAUGCGAGAUAAUAAGAUUAAUAUCGGGAAAGAAGUUUACCGUUGUGUUAGUUCUUAUUUGAAGGGGAACAAGGAAACCACAAAACUGGAAGAGGUGAAGAAGAUACUAGGAAGUUGUCAGCAUUACUGUGAAGUAGUUGAAGUAUUUGAAGAUGAAUCUUCGGAGAGGGAGAUACAUAAUAUCGAGUCAAACAAUGUUGACCCUAAUGCAGAGUAUGUUUUGCCGGAGCCUGUACCACAAGCUUUCGGUGAUGAAGAUUUGCGCAAAAUCUGUGCAAUUUUGUCAUCGCGUAAAGAUUGGUUUAGUACGCAAAAAGCUUUGGAGGACUUAAAAAUUUUGCAUACACCAGAUCUUGUGACUGAGAUCUUAAACAUUUGCAGUCAAUAUGGUCAUGUCGCCCUUCGUUUUUUCUCAUGGGUGGGCAAUCAACCGGGUUAUAGACACUCAACAAAUUCCUACAACAUGGCAAUCAAAGUAGCCGGUAAAGGGAAAGAUUUUAAGCACAUGAGAAAUAUUUUUUAUGAAAUGCAAAGAAAUGGGAACUUGGCAACACCUGAUACAUACACAAUCAUGAUAAUGUUGUAUGGUCGAGUGGGCUUGACUGAUACGGCAAUAAAAACCUUCAAUGAAAUGAAAGCUAGUGGCAUAAAACCAACAGCAAGUACGUACAAGUUCUUGAUCUUGUCCCUAUGUGGGAGAAAGGGUAGGAAAUUGGAUGAAGGCAUCAAAUUGUUCAAAGAGAUGAUUGGUGCAGGAUUGGUUCCCGAUAAAGAAUUGGUUGAAGUAUUCUUUGAUUGCUUAUGCCAAAUGGGUAAACUGGCAGAUGCAAAGAAUUGCUUGCAAUAUCUAAGAAAAGCUGGUUUCACCACACCUCUGAGUUAUUCCUUGCUUAUUAGGGCUCUUUUUAGGAAGGGCAAAGUGGAGGAAGCUUUAGAUUUAGCAAAUGACGUUGAAGAAGACCGCUCUACACUUGAUCGUUACAUCUAUGGAAGCCUCGUUCAUGGUCUCUUACAAUACGGGCAGUUAGACAAGGCAUUAGCCAAAAUAGAUUCUAUGAAACAGGCAGGUGUUCAUCCAACGGUUCAUGUUUAUACAGCGUUAAUUACACAUUUCUGUAAGGAAAAGCAGAUGGAUAAAGCAUUGGAUUUCUUAAGGAUAAUGUGGCAAGAAGGCUGUCAUCCUACUAUUGUCACAUAUACAGCAUUGCUACGUGGCUACAUCAACAUACAAAAGUUUGAAGAUGCUCGGAAAUUGUUUCUUCGUAUGAGGCUAAAAGGACCACUUCCAGACUUCAAGGCUUACUCGAUGCUGAUAUCGUGUUUAUGUGAGAUUGGAAAAUCUGAAGAAGCAAUGCAAUUGUUAUUUGAAAUGUUGGAUGACUGUAUUGUACCUAGCGCUGUUAAUUUUCGAACUGUUUUCUUUGGAUUGAAUAGAGAAGGCAAACAACAUUUAGCUCAGAGAGUUGUGCAGCUAAAACACACUGUUGUUAAUAAACGGAAGUUCUCAGUGCCUUGAAGAUAAGGUUUUGUUUUCCUACAGUUAAACCUUGUCGAUAUUUGCCUUUUGGCAUUAGACUCCUAAAUAGAUUCUGUAAAUGGUCUUUUACAUGGAUGUCAUUAACCUUAAUUCUGAUUUAUGAUGAAGGAGCUAUUAAGGAGCUUUUUAUUUGUUUAAAGGUGAGGUUAUAUGUUGUGCCUAUGAAACUUAAACUAUAACAUUGCAUUGACCCAAUGUUAUUAGGUGACUCCCACCUUGGUUCCCACUAAGACGGGGUUCAGGGUUGGAUGUACGCAGUCUUUCCCUUCGAUAACAAAGAGUUUGUUUCCGAUUGAUUCUUGACAAUAAACAUAUGCAAUGCAAGGUGAUUUAAGUUUGAACUUGUUGAUCUUUGAUUUUGCUUUAAUGCUGCAUUUGGUACUGGUGACAGGAAAAUGUUGGGGCAGCACUUGGUUGUUUAAGAAUUCGACCUUAAUCUUGUACUUCAGAAAAGGAUCUUAGCAGGUUCCGAAAUUUGAGGGGACUGCAUUUUUGCACCAUUGGUUACAAUUGUAAGAUGCAAAGCAAAAUUUGGAUGAACUUGCUGCUAUUCUUACCUGAGAGGAGCUAGGUCGAGGGCAAUUUGGGGUGACACAUCUGGUUACUCAUAGACAAUCGGGGGAGCAAUUUGCUUGCAAGACUAUUGCAAAGAGGAAGCUGGUGAAUAAGGAGGAUAUUGAGGAUGUUCGGAGAGAGGUUCAGA